rnacentral:rRNA from 1 species
AUUGAACGCUGGCGGAAUGCUUUACACAUGCAAGUCGAACGGCAGCACGGACUUCGGUCUGGUGGCGAGUGGCGAACGGGUGAGUAAUGUAUCGGGACGUGCCCAGUCGUGGGGGAUAACGUAGUGAAAAUUACGCUAAUACCGCAUACGAUCUAUGGAUGAAAGCGGGGGAUCGCAAGACCUCGCGCGAUUGGAGCGGCCGAUAUCAGAUUAGGUAGUUGGUGGGGUAAAGGCCCACCAAGCCAACGAUCUGUAGCUGGUCUGAGAGGACGACCAGCCACACUGGAACUGAGACACGGUCCAGACUCCUACGGGAGGCAGCAGUGGGGAAUUUUGGACAAUGGGCGAAAGCCUGAUCCAGCCAUUCCGCAUGCAGGAUGAAGGCCCUCGGGUUGUAAACUGCUUUUGUACAGAACGAAAAGGUUUCUACUAAUACUAGGAGCUCAUGACGGUACUGUAAGAAUAAGCACCGGCUAACUACGUGCCAGCAGCCGCCGCAG